ACCAGCCGUAAGGUCACUUCUGAACUGACCAUCUGUACAAGGAAACACACAUGCAGGAAGGCUAGAGGCGGUUAGAUGGUCAGCCGCGCUCAGGACCUGGUCAUUCGCUAUUCGGGACAGUUCUGUGGAUGACAACCAAGUUCUCGUACUUCCGGUAGUCGUGCUAACUUUCCAGAAGAAUGCAUAAACAAUUGUUUUUUGUCCUUCUGGUUUGUGCCGCGGGGUACAUUAUAGCGCAGAACAAUGGCAAUGUUUACCAGGCAAACAGCAACACUGACGUCAUCAGGGAAGUGUAUGUCCCCAUCACCCGCCCUGGUAGUCGGAACGUCGGACCAAUCGUCGAUUACGUACUACUCGGCCUUGGUCUUUCCGUCAUUUACUUCAUCCUGUGCAAUGGUACCGGGGACCUGAUAUCAUAAUACCCGCUGGGAAUUAUGACUACCGAAGAGUUCCGGGUUAAAGGACCAGUAACACUCCUGACGUCACACCGGUGGACUGUUUUCUUGGCUCAUUUUCAAAGGAAUUCCGAUCAAAUGUACAGUUUUCAAUACGAUAAAAUAAAAAAAUGGUCUAAAAA